GAUUUUCUCCCAAAACUUGGAGAGAUUACAGUUUCAGGAUUGGCAGGUGUGGUUUCAGCAAGAAAAGGUUCUAGGUCUAAGAAAAUUGCUUAUCCACUGGGACUGGCCUCUUUAGGAGCAACUGUUUGCUACCCAGUUCAGUCAGUAAUAAUUGCAAAGUUAGGAAAUUGUGCUGCAACAGAACUACCUGC